rnacentral:rRNA from 1 species
UACGGAGGGGGCUAGCGUUGUUCGGAAUUACUGGGCGUAAAGCGCACGUAGGCGGCUUUGUAAGUCAGAGGUGAAAGCCCGGAGCUUAACUCCGGAAUAGCCUUUGAGACUGCAUCGCUUGAAUCCAGGAGAGGUGAGUGGAAUUCCGAGUGUAGAGGUGAAAUUCGUAGAUAUUCGCAAGAACACCAGUGGCGAAGGCGGCUCACUGGCCCGAUACUGACGCUGAGGCACGAAAGCGUGGGGAGCAAACAGG